UUUGAAAUUGGAAUAAAAAAACAAAGUUUAUUUUGUAUGUGCACAUUUGUCUAAAUAGUAUUUUCUGGUCCAUGAGUGCAAUAAUCGACUUCCAAGCAAGUUUCCAAACCAAUGAAGUCUCACGAAGUAGUGAAGGUCUGUGUUCAGUCCUAUCUCGAUCUGACCAAUGAUGUUGAUUUGAACAAGACGAAUACCAAAUGCAGAAGAUUAGAAAAACAAACAACAAACUUCUCAACACUUUCCAAACGAAUGUGACACACAGGGGGGGGGGGGGGU